rnacentral:lncRNA from 1 species
AUGAUUUAAACAAUCAAAACAAAAUAUAAAACAAUACACAGAGAUAAAGAAAUAAUUUUGUAUUUAAACACAUAAGCACAUUACAUGAAUGCAAAUAUGGACUCCUAAGAUGAACUUCUAAGAAUAUGGAGACUCCCCUUGAUUUUGUGCUAUCCUAUCUUAUCAUAUCUUCUGGUGUACUUCUCCUAAGUGCAUGUUCGUAGAUGAUGACACGUCUACGCUCUUUCUCCCCCUUAUUUGAUAAACAUCAAAAGGGAAGGAGAGAAAGGACAUCAUAGCCGACAGAGAGGGGAGGAUUCCUUAGUCCACAUCAGAUCAUAUUAGAACAAUGAAACAAUAUGAUGAUGGGAGUGAAGGAGGGGGAGGAGGUGGAAACACGUGGAGGAAGAGGGGUUGAGGAAGAGGAAGAGAAGGAUCAUGAUGGGAAAGAUAAGAGACAAGGUGGUAAAUGAGUAGGGUAAGGUCUGAUGGUGUAGGAUGUAGGUUAGGUGGAAGGACUACUUGCGUAAGGCAUGUGAGUUCUGAAUACUAGAGUAGAAAAGAAUGUUGGAUUAUCAUAUUCAUUUGGUAUGGUGAUUGGAUGAGAUGAUGAUGACGAUCUGGAGGUUUGGAAGAAGGCUUCAUUGGUAUGGAAUCUUGAGAGUUUGGGAGAUUAGAGAUUUGAGAGAGCGUGAAGGCGAGAGAGAAGGAGAGUUAAGGUUUUUUAGAGAAUGUGUUGUGAAUGCGAAGAGUAGAGUCGAGUUAAAUAAAGAAAAAAGUUAUUCGUGGGCGAUUGAUUUGUCUCAUCCAUUUAAUGUGCUUCGUAUGAGUAGAUUUUGAAAAGAGAUAUUUUGUCUCUUGAAGAUCGAGUCAUUGUGCAAAGGACUGUAGAUUGCAACGGAUAAGAAUGAGAAGAGUGGAAGAGUCAGAAGUUUUGUCGUUUCGAGGAAGAGAGAGGAAAAAUGAUUGUUGUUAAGAGUAAUGGCUUGAUUGACACACAAAAGAUAUUGGGCAUAUUUAAAAUAGAAGGGUUGGGGUUUCGAAAAUCUUAAACAAAUUCUAGAGAUGGGCUUAAUCUUUAGACACAACCUGAUGCAUGAAUGCAAAUGUCUUACGAUUUAUCUUAGACGAUGCAAUGUAUGAUACAAACUAUGUAUCUUAGACGUUUUGACUCAUCCAACGCUAUAUGACCACACUGAACAUGUUGAAUCAAAUUCAUUCAACGACUCUCAUUCAACGACUUUCAAGGUUAUAGAGUUAUAAACUCUAAAUGCUCUUGAAGUUUUUGAGUAACCAAGUAUGAUCCCUUCAUCGCUUCUAGAGUCAAACUUCCC